UAAUUAAAGAUUUAUCGGUAAAAGAUGGCUAUGCGUCCUAUUAGUUAGUUGGUAAGGUAACGGCUUACCAAGACAGCGAUAGGUAGGGGUCCUGAGAGGGAGAUCCCCCACACUGGUACUGAGACACGGACCAGACUCCUACGGGAGGCAGCAGUGAGGAAUAUUGGACAAUGGAGGAGACUCUGAUCCAUCCAUGCCGCGUGUAGGAAGAAUGCCCUAUGGGUUGU
rnacentral:rRNA from 1 species